rnacentral:lncRNA from 1 species
GCGUGGCUUGUGGGUAAAAUGGGCGUGGUUUGCUCGGUGGGCGUGGCCUGAGUGGGCGUGUCCCGCAGGAGGAAGAGGAGGAGGAGGAAGAGGAGGAGCGAGGCCAAGGGGGCGGAGCCAAAGCCCCGGGGUUGGGGGGAGGGCGGCGCUACGUCCCGCCCCGGCUGGUGCCCGUCAGCUGCGAUCCGGCUCCGGAUCCCGAAUCCCGAUCCCGCUCCCGGCUCCGGCUCCGGGCUUUGAGCUCGGCCGCGCUCCGGGAGCUGCGCCAGGAGUUGGGGGAGGGGCCCCUGGAGGAGGGGGCGGGGCUGCAGCCCCCGCAGCGCCAGGAGAUCCAGAGGCGGCGCUGGGAGGAGUCGAUG